GGUACCGGAGCGGCCACUGAGCGGCGCCGCAGCCCGCAACUUCCACCGCCUGACAUCCGCCGCUUCCUCCCCGCUGCACGCUGCAGGCCAACCCGCUGCCUCGCCGCCCGGGUCGGGUUACAGCCACCAGGCCAGCCUCCCUCCGCCCUCCCCGACUGAAGCCCGACUUCUGGGGAGAUAGUAUUACAGGCUCACAGCUGAUCCACCCGCUGGUACACCAUUGAGACAGGGGAGGUUAAAGCACUCUGAACGCAUGGAACCAUAUUGCAGAUGCGCACAGGCUGUAAUGAAGAGCUCUUGAACUCGCGGUGAGAGAAGCUGUGACAGGAGUUCACGAGGAUUCCUCUUUGGUUCUGCUGGACAUUUAAAAGGACUGAUCCCUGCUGAACUGCCACAUCUUUAACUGGAGUCUGAGUAACAACACAGAAAUCUGAAAAUGCUCCACUGCAAGUUAAAGUCCUACUUACAGAGAUUUAUGUUGUGAUCAGUAUCAGCUCGUGGCUUCCAGCGUGUCUCUCUGUGACAGAUGCUUCCUCCCGCACCGCCACACCUGACCGCUCGCCUCCUCUCCACACAGAUGAUAUCACACCGCUGACGGAGGCGAGGGUCCCAGAAGGCUCCGCUCUACAGUGGAAACAUGUCAUCUGACCAUGUCAGCCGGCUCAACCCAAAUAUUGUGCGUUGUUUGUAAAGAGAGGUCAGGCGACUUGUGAGCCGGGUAUUUCAGGCCCCGCUCUCUCUUAAUGAAGUAUUCAUGAAGCAGCCAGUGGGAGCAGAGUAUAGCCUUACACGACACUGGUGGUUCCGACGGACUCCCCCUCCUCCUCCACUCCCCCCUCAUGUG